rnacentral:rRNA from 1 species
AGUGAACGCUGGCGGUAGGCCUAACACAUGCAAGUCGAACGGCAGCACAGUAAGAGCUAGCUCUUGCGGGUGGCGAGUGGCGGACGGGUGAGGAAUACAUCGGAAUCUACUUUUUCGUGGGGGAUAACGUAGGGAAACUUACGCUAAUACCGCAUACGACCUACGGGUGAAAGCAGGGGAUCUUCGGACCUUGCGCGAUUGAAUGAGCCGAUGUCGGAUUAGCUAGUUGGCGGGGUAAAGGCCCACCAAGGCGACGAUCCGUAGCUGGUCUGAGAGGAUGAUCAGCCACACUGGAACUGAGACACGGUCCAGACUCCUACGGGAGGCAGCAGUGGGGAAUAUUGGACAAUGGGCGCAAGCCUGAUCCAGCCAUACCGCGUGGGUGAAGAAGGCCUUCGGGUUGUAAAGCCCUUUUGUUGGGAAAGAAAAGCAGCAGGUUAAUACCCCGCUGUUCUGACGGUACCCAAAGAAUAAGCACCGGCUAACUUCGUG